rnacentral:rRNA from 1 species
AUUGAACGCUGGCGGCAUGCCUAACACAUGCAAGUCGAACGGCAGCACGGUCUAGCUUGGUAGAUGGGUGGCGAGUGGCGUACGGGUGAGUAAUGCGUAGGAAUAUACCUUGAAGUGGGGGAUAACUUGGGGAAACUCAAGCUAAUACCGCAUGAGCUCUACGGAGGAAAGCUGGGGACCUGAAAGGGCCUGGCGCUUUAAGAAUAGCUUACGUCCGAUCAGCUAGUUGGAGUGGUAAAGGCACACCAAGGCGAAGAUCGGUAGCUGGUCUGAGAGGACGGACAGCCACACUGGGACUGAGACACGGCCCAGACUCCUACGGGAGGCAGCAGUGGGGAAUAUUGGACAAUGGGGGCAACCCUGAUCCAGCAAUGCCGCGUGUGUGAAGAAGGCCUGCGGGUUGUAAAGCACUUUCGUUGGGGAGGAGGGCUAUUAGGUUAAGAGCUAGAUAGUUGGACGUUACCCAAAGAAGAAGCACCGGCUAACUCCGUGCCAGCCGCCGCGGUAAGAC